GACGAACGCUGGCGGCGUGCUUAACACAUGCAAGUCGAACGGAAAGGCCCUGCUUUUGUGUGUUGCUCGAUUGGCGAACGGGUGAGUAACACGUGAGUAACCUGCCCUUGACUGUGUGAUAACUUCAGGAAACUGGGGCUAAUACCGGAUAGGAUCUUUUGCUGCAUGGGGGGGGAUGGAGAGUUUCGGCGGUGGUGGCUGGUCUGGCUGGUUAUGAGCUUGUUUGUGAGGUUGUGGCAUACCAAGUGUUUGACGGGUAGGCGGCAUGAGAGGGUGAACGGCGACAUUGCGACUGAGGUACGGACCAGACUCGUACGGGAGGCAACAGUGGGGAAUCUUGCACAGUGGGCCGACGCCUGAUGCAGCAACGCCGCGUGCGUGAUGACGGCCUUCGGGUUGUAAACCGAUUUCGCAUGUGACGAAGCGUGAGUGACGGUAAUGGGUAAAGAAGCACCGGCUAACUACGUG
rnacentral:rRNA from 1 species